rnacentral:rRNA from 1 species
UACGUAGGGUGCAGGCGUUAAUCGGAAUUAUUGGGCGUAAAGGGCGCGUAGGCGGCUUGGCAAGUGGAUGGUGAAAUCCCUCGGCUUAACCGAGGAACUGCCGUCCAAACUGCUUCGCUUGAGACCGGGAGAGGUGAGUGGAAUUCCCAGUGUAGCGGUGAAAUGCGUAGAUAUUGGGAGGAACACCAGUGGCGAAGGCGGCUCACUGGACCGGUACUGACGCUGAGGCGCGAAAGCCAGGGGAGCAAACGGG